rnacentral:rRNA from 1 species
UACGUAGGGUGCAAGCGUUGUCCGGAAUUAUUGGGCGUAAAGAGCUCGUAGGCGGUUUGUCGCGUCUGCUGUGAAAACGCGAGGCUCAACCUCGCGCCUGCAGUGGGUACGGGCAGACUAGAGUGCGGUAGGGGAGAUUGGAAUUCCUGGUGUAGCGGUGGAAUGCGCAGAUAUCAGGAGGAACACCGAUGGCGAAGGCAGAUCUCUGGGCCGUUACUGACGCUGGAGGAGCGAAAGCAUGGGGAGCGAACAGG